AUACUGUCCGGCUAGGGGCGGGAGAGGCCGUCGGUAUUCCUGGGUAGGGGUGAAAUCCUAUAAUCCCAGGAGGACCACCAGUGGCGAAGGCUGUCGGCUAGAACGCGCCCGACGGUGAGGGAUGAAAGCUGGGGGAGCGAACCGGAUUAGAUACCCGGGUAGUCCCAGCUGUAAACGAUGCAGGCUAGGUGUUAGGGCGGCUACGUGCCGCUCUAGUGCCGCAGGGAAGCUGUUAAGCCUGCCGCCUGGGGAGUACGGCCGCAAGGCUGAAACUUAAAGGAAUUGGCGGGGGAGCACCACAAAGGGGUGAAGCUUGCGGUUUAAUUGGAGUCAACGCCGGAAAUCUCACCGGGGGCGACAGCAGGAUGAAAGCCAGAUUAAAGGUCUUGCCAGACGAGCUGAGGAGAGGUGCAUGG
rnacentral:rRNA from 1 species